GCCACCUUGCCGUGCGUGAUCGUUGUUUGUUUUUAUUUGUGCUUUUUAAGAAUAUUUUUUAAUUCGGAUACUUUUAUAAUAACUUUAAUAGUAUUAUUAAUAUAGUGCAUAAAAUCAGUUGGAGUAGCAGAAGCAAUGUAGAUAAAAAAUCUGCAGGAAUAAUGUUUCAAAGCUUUCCAGAAGAUCCUGCGAAGAAGGCAUGAAGUAUUGAUCAGAUUUGUUAAUAGAGCAGUAUGUUCAAAACAUUUUUUAGAAAAAGAUAUUGACAGAACUUCACUUUCAACCGUUUGAGAGACUGUGCUGUUCCAAUAGCUUAUAUCACACAGAAUCAGCUGAGAGAAGUGGUCUACAAAAAACCAGGAAGGAAAUGGAAUAUGUGGCUAUGAAAGGCAAAAGAAAGGUUUACAAAGCAAAUGUGACACAUUUUUUUAUAGGAAUAUCAGUAAAUUACAUUAAAAAAAUGUAUGAAAAGAUUUUUUGCAAUAAAAAUGUUUAUAUUUAUCAAGGAUGCAUUAUUUGGUAUGGCCACAUAUCGUCAGUGAUGUGACAAUACCUCCUAUCUGUUUUUUCAUGAGAUUUGUAAGAUAGACUAAAAACUUGUUUGGGCCACCUCCUGUUUUCAUAUAUUUUUUGACUUGUUUUGCAGUAAAUUUAACUAUCUAUUUACUACAAAACAAGCCAGAACUUACGUAUGCAAACAGGAGGUGACCUUAAAAAAUGUUUUUCGUCUCCUGCAAACCUCAUGAAAAAAGAUAUAGGAGGUAUUGUCACAGCACUGACGAUAUAUUUCAGAGAAUGUCUAAAAAAUAUACUGUGAAUGUUCAAAGAACGUUCGUAGACAUUCAUGGAAUGUUCCAACAAGACAUUUAGUCUAAAAAAUAUACUGUGAAUGUCCAAAGAACAUUCAUGGAAUGUUCCAACAUUCAUGGAAUGUCCCAACAAGACAUUCAGUCUAAAAAAUAUACUGUGAAUGUCCAAAGAACAUUCAUGGAAUGUUCCAACAAGACAUUCAGUCUAAAACAUAUACUGUGAAUGUCCAAAGAACAUUCGUAGACAUUCAUGGAAUGUUCCAACAGAACAUUCUAAGAAUAUUUAAAAUGCUGACACAGCACAUUCCAGGGACUUUCCAGGGACAUUCGUGUGCAUUUGGGGACAUUCCAGGAAUGUUUGGAAUGUCCUGUGAGUACAUUCUAG
rnacentral:lncRNA from 1 species